GACAGAGGAUGCAAGCGUUAUCCGGAAUGAUUGGGCGUAAAGCGUCUGUAGGUGGCUUUUAAGUCUGCCGUCAAAUCCCAGGGCUUAACCCUGGACAGGCGGUGGAAACUACCAAGCUGGAGUACGGUAGGGCAGAGGGAAUUUCCGGUGGAGCGGUGAAAUGCGUAGAGAUCGGAAAGAACACCAACGGCGAAAGCACUCUGCUGGGCCGACACUGACACUGAGAGACGAAAGCUAGGGAGCGAAUGGG
rnacentral:rRNA from 1 species